UACGUAGGGUGCGAGCGUUAAUCGGAAUUAUUGGGCGUAAAGAGCUCGUAGGUGGCUUGUCACGUCGGGUGUGAAAGCUUGGGGCUUAACUCCAGGUCUGCAUUCGAUACGGGCUGGCUAGAGGUAGGUAGGGGAGAACGGAAUUCCUGGUGUAGCGGUGAAAUGCGCAGAUAUCAGGAGGAACACCGGUGGCGAAGGCGGUUCUCUGGGCCUUACCUGACGCUGAGGAGCGAAAGCGUGGGGAGCGAACAGG
rnacentral:rRNA from 1 species